GAGCGAACGGACGAGAAGCUUGCUUCUCUGAUGUUAGCGGCGGACGGGUGAGUAACACGUGGAUAACCUACCUAUAAGACUGGGAUAACUUCGGGAAACCGGAGCUAAUACCGGAUAAUAUUUUGAACCGCAUGGUUCAAAAGUGAAAGACGGUCUUGCUGUCACUUAUAGAUGGAUCCGCGCUGCAUUAGCUAGUUGGUAAGGUAACGGCUUACCAAGGCAACGAUGCAUAGCCGACCUGAGAGGGUGAUCGGCCACACUGGAACUGAGACACGGUCCAGACUCCUACGGGAGGCAGCAGUAGGGAAUCUUCCGCAAUGGGCGAAAGCCUGACGGAGCAACGCCGCGUGAGUGAUGAAGGUCUUCGGAUCGUAAAACUCUGUUAUUAGGGAAGAACAUAUGUGUAAGUAACUGUGCACAUCUUGACGGUACCUAAUCAGAAAGCCACGGCUAACUACGUGCCAGCAGCCGCGGUAAUACGUAGGUGGCAAGCGUUAUCCGGAAUUAUUGGGCGUAAAGCGCGCGUAGGCGGUUUUUUAAGUCUGAUGUGAAAGCCCACGGCUCAACCGUGGAGGGUCAUUGGAAACUGGAAAACUUGAGUGCAGAAGAGGAAAGUGGAAUUCCAUGUGUAGCGGUGAAAUGCGCAGAGAUAUGGAGGAACACCAGUGGCGAAGGCGACUUUCUGGUCUGUAAC
rnacentral:rRNA from 1 species